GAUUUUUCAAACAUGGAAUAAUCUCAGAAAUUACAUUUUCAAGCUCUCUGCUUCUGUGAGGAAGAUGUUGCACUUCAACAAAUACAGUCUCAUCUGCAGUGCUCCGUUCUUGUCCAACAGAUGCUGGGUGUAGAUCUCCUGCUUUGGCUAUGUUUAAAUACGAACAAGCCUACACUACUACUUUCAGAAUAUUUCAGACUUCCUGAAGGCACAGUAAAAGAUGGAACACGAGAUUAUGACAAACUCUCUUCUGGGAUCUAUGUAGUGGGGCUUGACUUUGAUCUUCCGUUUCUCCUGCCCUUGGAGACCAAAGGCAUUUUUGCAUAUGGCAAAUGAAGGGAAUUGUGGGGCUCAGAACUGCUGUGCUGAUCAGAGAGUUCUCUGAAAGGUCUGUGUUCUGAGUUAUUGAAACAUUAAAGAGCAUGGUGUAGGCUGUCUGGAGCUUGUAGUGGAUGUGUCUUUGUGUCCUGGC
rnacentral:lncRNA from 1 species